CCUACGGGAGGCAGCAGUGAGGAAUAUUGGUCAAUGGCCGUAAGGCUGAACCAGCCAAGUAGCGUGAGGGAAGACUGCCCUAUGGGUUGUAAACCUCUUUUAUGCGGGGAUAAAGGUGUCCACGUGUGGAUGUUUGCAGGUACCGCAUGAAUAAGGACCGGCUACUUCCGUGCCAGCAGCCGCGGUAAUACGGAAGGUCCGGGCGUUAUCCGGAUUUAUUGGGUUUAAAGGGAGCGUAGGCCGGUCUUUAAGCUUGCCGUGAAAUUUUGGGGCUCAACCAUGGCAGUGCGUCGCGUACUGGAGAGCUUGAGUGUGCGGGAGGCAGGCGGAAUGCGUGGUGUAGCGGUGAAAUGCUUAGAGAUCACGAAGAACCCCGAUUGCGAAGGCAGCCUGCCGCAGCGUUACUGACGCUGAAGCUCGAAAGCGCGGGGAUCGAACAGGAUUAGAUACCCUUGUAGUC
rnacentral:rRNA from 1 species